AACGGCAUAGCUCAGUUGGUUAGAGCGGUGCGGAAUCCGAACUAUCGGAUAACUCGCACGGUCGGCGGUUCGAGUCCGUCUGUCGUUC
rnacentral:tRNA from 1 species